GUUCAAUGAACAAAAAGAUCAGUUAAAAACUUACACAAAAGAUGCAAUUUGUUUGAACCCUUUUUCAAGUGCAUACACAAUUUCCACCACAUUACAUUUUACAACAUGAUUAAGCCACUAAAGAUUCUAAACAGGAGAAGUUAAGACGAUUAGGACACCAACCACGAAAGGCCACGGACAUCAGCCUGCAAUUAUAUACAAAAUUCAGUUGUUACUUCAGCCCGGAACCUGCUGAUGCUUUUGAAGAUCCCACCAUUGCAUGAUCAACUGAUCCAAUAAAAAGCUGUGACGAAAAUGUAUUAGUUUUUCUUAAUUUACCAGGAAAAUCCUUGCCUGAAUCACCUUUCAAAGAAAGAUUUUUCCUAAUUCGGUUCUUGUUUAGUGAGAGCAUAGUGCCACGAGAUGGUCCGUGCAAAGCCCCCUCGACACAAUCACCAGAAUGGGCACAACCCCAAGGCUUGGAUGGUCCUUCUUCACUGAAUGGUUUAAGCCUAGGAAAGAACUUGGAGAAAACUCGCUGCUCUGGAGAACUACCUUCUUCAAGCUUGGCACAGAUUGGGCAUGGAGGAUCACUUUUACAUGAUUUUGGUGUAGCUUGCUCCAAACAUUCAGCAUGAAAUACAUGGCGGCAUGAAAGGACCCCAGCAACUGGCAUAUCUCCACUUCUCACAAUUCGUCGGGAACUCCAAGGCGAUCUUUGUGAAAGAAACCUCUCGCAUAACCCACAUCUGAAACCAUCAGAAGGGUUACAAGGUUUACUUACGAAGUCAGAAUGAAAAGAUUCAGAAGCCUCUGUUAAGUCAAG
rnacentral:misc_RNA from 1 species